UUUUCUUUCUCCAUAUAAACCCCACCUCAACUUGAAGCUCACACACCAAAUUUAAAGUCUUUCCCAAACCUAAUUUAUAACAUCCUACCAACCAUAAAAUAGCUCUAGCUUUUCUGCCUUCUCCGCAGCCCUUAAUUCUUCCUGUCCUCCUCAUAGUUUUUCUUCUCCUCCCUUAAUUGCUCUUCUCCGCCGUCUUCCCCCCUUGAAUUCUUCUCCCAAGCAAUUGUGGCCAGAGACGAAGCAACAGGAAACCAAUGAGAUAUAUGAUGAUGAUAUGCUUUCCCUUUAGCCAAUGAUUUACCCCAUCCCCGAUUCCCGAUCCCUCAUCCUCAAUCCAUCUGUUGUCCUACUCUCCUAAGGUCUUCAAUUUGACAACCUACGAGGAUUAGAUUUUGUGACUAUUUGGUCAUCACAGAUCGUCAAAAUGAAUAGCAAGACUCAUACCCUUUUAUGUUAUUCAAAUGUUAAUGCUUUUUGCUUCUUAAUUUUCUAUUUAUUAUUUGUUUAAAUUUUUGUUUAACAUCAGCUGCAGGUUUUUUUUUAUGCAAGGAUCUAAGAAGGCUUAUAUUUACAAUUUUUUAUAUGCCAGGAUCUAAGAAGGCUUAUAUUUACAAAAAUGAAAAAGAAAAGAAGGCUUAUAUUUGGAGUAACAUUGUUAAAUCUGAAACGACAUCAACAACCCUUUUGCUUUUUGGAAUGGAAGGGGUAGGAAAGAAAAAAACGUCAGCGUCAUCAAGGGGACACCGGUGAGUAUUAUUUACUGAUAUUUUGUUAUUGUUGUGGCCUGUAUUUAGUAAAGAGGUGCGGCAAAGAGAAGAGAAAGAUUGAAGAAUAGAUUUGAGGAAUUGUGUGUUAAUUCCCUAGUCAUAAGGAGAAGAGAAACUUGAUCUUCAAGUAAUACAAAGUAUAUUAGGAAAGAUCUUCUAGAUCUCAAAGGAUUCUUACUUUAUCUCUACUUAAGAUUUACACAAUCACAUAUUGAUAAGAACAUAUGUCACAACAGUUAUUUAUGAUUUCGUAAAUUUUCAUAUAAUUCUUAGUAGUGGUGCAUGAGGUUUAAUGUACUAGAUGAUAAGUGUUGGGUUUCUACCUAUGCGCUCUGGUUUGAAAUUCCUCCUAAAUUAUUAUUAAUAAUUCCGGACUACCCCUCUCUAAUAAUAAUAAAAAAAUGAUUACUGUUUAACAAUACAAAAAUAAAAGUAUUUUCUUCUUUUGUUCAUUUGUUAAUUUUAUGUCCACUUAAAAUGUGAUGUGCGAGUGAGAUGUCUUAGGUUCGAUUCUUGUCAAAAGCAAAUUUGAACCAUAUUAUUGUUAGUCCAUUGUAAGACUAAGUCCAUCUCCUCCCUUUUAGUGUGGAUAAUAUCGUUUGUUCAAAAAAAAAAAAUGUGACAUGUCGUAGUCACUUAGUACUAAAGUCUAGUGGUAUUCCUCCCCACUUGUAAGUGAGAGGUCUUAGGUUCGGUUCUCGCCAAAGGUGAAUUUGAACCAUGUUAUUAUGGUUAGCCCAGUAUGAGGCUUAACCUACUUCUCUACUCUAGUGUAGAUAAUAUCAUGUGUUUAAAAAAAAAAAAGUAACGUGUUGUUGCACAAGUAACAUAAUUAUUUUAUUUCAUUGGACACGACAUUGCUCAACUUUUAUUAAAAUUAUUGUAAAACACGGAUAUGCAUUACAAUAAUUUAGGAGGAGUUUCAAACCGGGACUUUUAUUAAAAUUAUUGUGAUAAAAGUUGAGCAAUGUUGUGUCCAAUAUGAGUACGAGUGGCAUUUUUUGUGUGACUUUUACCAACCAAUUUGUAUUUGUGUACAUAUGGAGACGAAUUAUAUUGAAGGGAAUCAUGGUUUAUACAUGAUAUUAUUAAGUCUGAUUGGGUGGACAACAAAAUGGAUUUUUGCAGGACACUAGCAGAGAAUAUGUUGUGGACUGGACGCCUAUUAUGGGUCCCAUCAACAACCAGGAGGUUAGUCCUCAUUGUUUGGCUAUAUUCAUAUGCGUCGAGGCACUGCAUGCUUUAGAGACAUGGAGACAAAUUGUGCUCUCUUCGCAAAAUGAGACGUCUUCGAGUUCACAACGAUCGAGUAUACUCCCAAGUCUUUCGAACUCACGAAGGCUAAUGGUGUUAUCCUCGAGAAGGAUUGGCCAUAUAAAGGAAACAAGAGAAGACAAGAUUCAUUUGUGAAAUUGGCUUAUAAUACACAUAACUUUUAGUUUAAUACAUAAAUACUCACUUUAAAACUUUCUCAUUUUA